UACGGAGGGUGCGAGCGUUGUCCGGAAUCACUGGGCGUAAAGGGCGCGUAGGCGGCCGGAUAAGUAGGGGGUGAAAUCCUGCGGCUUAACCGCAGGGCUGCCUUCUAAACUGUCAGGCUUGAGCACAGUAGAGGCAGGUGGAAUUCCCGGUGUAGCGGUGGAAUGCGUAGAGAUCGGGAAGAACAUCAGUGGCGAAGGCGGCCUGCUGGGCUGUUGCUGACGCUGAGGCGCGACAGCGUGGGGAGCAAACAGG
rnacentral:rRNA from 1 species